CCUUGGUGCUAUUUCGUUGGGUUAUGGGACUGGGGUAAUGAUUAAUAGGGACAGUUGGGGCCGUUCAUAUUUCGUUGUCAGAGGUGAAAUUCUUGGAUUUACGAACGAUGAACUUGUGCGAAAGCAUUCGGCAAGGAUGUUUUCAUUGAUCAAGAACGAAAGUUAGGGGAUCGAAGACGAUCAGAUACCGUCGUAGUCUUAACCAUAAACUAUGCCAACUAGGGAUCAUUGAGUGUCAAUUUGCGACUCCAUUGGCCCCUUGUGAGAAAUCAAAGUUUUUGGGUUCCGGGGGGAGUAUGGUCGCAAGGCCGAAACUUAAAGGAAUUGACGGAAGGGCACCCAAGAAGUGUGAGCCUGCGGCUUAAUUUGACUCAACACGGGAAAACUUACCAGGUCCAGACAUAGUGAGGAUUGACAGGUUGAAGAUCUUUCUUGAUUCUAUGGGUGGUGGUGCAUGGCCGUUCUUAGUUGGUGGAUUGAUCUGUCUGGUUAAUUCCGAUAACGAACGAGACCUCAGCCUGCUAAAUAGUGGACUCCGGUUUUCCGGGGGCGAUCGCUUCUUAGAGGGACUAUUGGUGUGUAGCCAAUGGAAGAUUGAGGCAAUAACAGGUCUGUGAUGCCCUUAGAUGUUCUGGGCCCGCACGCGCGCUACACUGUUGCGAUCAGCGAGCCUAUCCUUCACCGAAAGGUGUGGGUAAUCUUUGAAAUCGCAACGUGAUGGGGCUAGAGCAUUGCAAUUAUUGCUCUUCAACGAGGAAUUUCUAGUAAACGCGUGUCAUCAGCGUGCAUUGAUUACGUCCCUGCCCUUUGUACACACCGCCCGUCGCUCCUACCGAUUGAAUGAUCCGGUGAAAUCUCGGGACUUGGGUCGUGAGCGCAAGCAACAUCGGCUCGGGGAACUUGCUUAAACCUUAUCAUUUAGAGGAAGGAGAAGUCGUAACAAGGUUUCCGUAGGUGACCUGCAGAAGGAUCAAUCCAUAUGACUAGUAGAUCCUCUAGAGUCGA
rnacentral:rRNA from 1 species